GACGUAGGGCGCGAGCGUUGUCCGGAUUUAUUGGGCGUAAAGAGCGCGCAGGCGGUCGUCCAAGUCGCGUGUGAAAGCCCCCGGCUCAACUGGGGAGGGUCACGCGAUACUGGUCGACUCGAAGGCAGGAGAGGGUAGUGGAAUUCCCGGUGUAGUGGUGAAAUGCGUAGAUAUCGGGAGGAACACCAGUGGCGAAGGCGACUACCUGGCCUGUUCUUGACGCUGAGGCGCGAAAGCUAGGGGAGCAAACGGG
rnacentral:rRNA from 1 species